rnacentral:rRNA from 1 species
UACGUAGGGUGCAAGCGUUGUCCGGAAUUAUUGGGCGUAAAGAGCUCGUAGGCGGUCUGUCGCGUCGGCUGUGAAAACCCGGAGCUCAACUCCGGGCCUGCAGUCGAUACGGGCAAACUGGAGUGUUGCAGGGGAGACUGGAAUUCCUGGUGUAGCGGUGAAAUGCGCAGAUAUCAGGAGGAACACCGGUGGCGAAGGCGGGUCUCUGGGCAACAACUGACGCUGAGGUGCGAAAGCGUGGGGAGCAAACAGG